rnacentral:lncRNA from 1 species
GGAAUGUCGGGGUCCGGACUGCGGUUGAGUCCGAGGGAUAUUCGCGAUGGGGUUGUGAAGUGAACGUCAGAUUCAGUCAAUACGCCCCAGUAACUUCAGAGCGAUUGAUAAACAUGAUCCCUUCUCCAACUGUGGCUACAGAGUUUACACCGUUCCAUUUGGCAACCUCGCACACGAUGCAUGGCUGAAUGUAUGCAGAUUACCCGGGCUCAAGCGUUCCUCGACUUCACCUAUCAACCGGUUGUGGAUUAUUUACCGUGGAUAUACUGGUUGAAUACAGCAACUGGCUUAUGGACGGAAAAGCCUGAUGAUUUGGUAAUUGCGAACUGCAAGGAGCUCAAAUUCCAGUUCGGAGAUAUAAUCUCUUUUUUUACCAAAUGGAGAUUAACGGAUCCGAAAUCGCAACCCCGGCACUGGUUCUUUGCCGUUUCGGACACGGAGCUGUGGCACAUCGUGAAGGAGUCCUACAUCCUUCCGCAGAAGGGCUUCGUCGACAUCCUUCCCUCGGUACAACGGAUCUCCGGAAGACGAGUCUGUGUCGUCCAUCCGAAGGUUCCCGGCCGGCCACUCACAGGACACGCCGGCACCCGUCUGGCCAAGAGGAUGUGGAAGAUGGCUGUCCCGUUUGAGACUUUUUCUUGCAACUGUCACCACUGGGCAGACUACAUGGCCCACGGUCGGACCUACGGCGACUUGUACACGUGGCAUUACCUGCCGGCCAACUACGCUUGCCCGGUUCACCAGCCCUUCGACGCAACGACCGACAUCUCCUCCCCUGGUUUCAAACUCGCCAUCAAGGAUAAGUUCGGGAACCUGCAGAGCAUCGAGUGGCCCCAAAGUCUGUCCGACGAACAACUAGCCCAAGAGGUCAAGCAACGGCGGUUGUUCUCGUCUAAAGUGACCGACGAACUCGCCACACUGAGAGAGACCUGGGCAACAAAAGUUCGACCGUUUUUGCCCGCGAAGAUCCCUCCAUCCGCCAUCCCACCCUUCAUGUCCAAGAGCUCCAACGGUUCGUCCUUCUUCUCCAGGAGUGUCUCCAGUUUCUCACGGCUGGCGUCCUUCCGCCGGCUGUCGCGAAAAAAUAACAAGAGUAGUUCGGAUGGACGUGCCAAGGACAUUUCCGUGGGUGGCCAAAACUGAAAAGGGGGGGGGGUCUCCAAAUUGAUGAUAUUAGGAGGUACAUAGAUAGAUAGGUGUUAGAUUUCACAUAAAAUCAUGUUUUAAAUAUCUAGUUAUUAAAUAAAAUACUUUAAUUAAAUAUUGUUUUACUAUUUAAUAAUUUAGAUUAUAGGUAUAAACGAAAAAACUUUAAAAGUUAAGUAUUGAAGUAAAAUAAAUUAGAAUUAGAUAAAUUCUCGAGUUAGAUUUAUGGCAAGACUCAUCCUAUUUCUGGUUCCUUCAUUUAAGUAUUUUUAUUUUUACAUAAACUAAUUACAUAUUUGCAUAAAUUAAUUUUUAUAAAUACUUUAUAUAAAUUUCUUUUAAAUAAACAUGUAUGUACAAGGUCGUAAAAUUGUGCUGGGUCCAGACUAUUUUGAAGGGAAUGCAAGGCCAAAUAGCAGGGCAAAUAUAUGUGCACGUAUUAAGUUAGAUUUUUCGUUGGAAUUUAAAUCUGGAAUGAAAGGAGAACUAAAAAACUAACUAUUCAUAAUAUUAAAAUUAAAAAUUAAUUUUUAAGUGAAAAAUCUUAUAUUAAAUCAAAGGAAAAGAACAUCCUUCAGAAUUGUAGAAAAAUAAAGACUGUUUCUUGGUUAAUUUGUUAAGUUGGGGAGAUUUAAAAGUAAUCAAAUCUUUUCUAUGAAAAAAUGAGCUAACUAAAAUUAAAUUAUCCAACUAUGCAAUAAAAUAAUUGAAACCCACUUCAAUUUAUUGUAAUUAAAAUUGUAUUAAAUGUUCGAAUUUUUU